CCGCAUACAGGUGUCUCUGUUGACAGGUGUAAGUACAACAACCUGUCGUUGUAGAUUGAAGGUAUUUAAUUGGUUGUCGCCAGUUGUCGGCUAAUUCACCUGUUUAAAAAUACAAACAAAAGAAUUCUUAAGACUUUUUAAUUUUGUAAGAAUUGUUUUAGAGGAUAAAAUUGUUAAACCCUAGAUUAAAUACAAAAGUAUUAAUGAUUUUUUAGCAAUAUCAUCACCUGAGAUUUAAGUUGAUUAUAAAGUUUAAUAAAAUACUCUCACUAUUCGUUUUGUAUUGAAACAAGGAUUAAAGUAUUCAGUUACCUAGCAACAAAAUUUCCCUCUAGGAUGUCAACAGUAGAAAAUACUGUGGGAGAAUUUUAAUAAUACAUUGAUUUUAACAAUGAAGUAAUUAAAAUAUGGAAAACAGGUAGUUCUAAACUUAUUCAAAAUGCGAUAUAUACCAAAAUGGGUUGAUAAAAUCCAAGAUACAGAAAAACAUUCACAAAGCCCAACAAAAUCGGGAUUUUCAUUCCGAUUGGGUAGCAGUAAACCCCAGACAAGUACAAAACAAUUGAGG
rnacentral:lncRNA from 1 species